rnacentral:rRNA from 1 species
CGUAGGCGGGGUGGCAAGUCGGGAGUGAAAUUUCUGGGCUUAACCCAGAGGCUGUUUCCGAAACUGCUGUGCUCGAGUGUGGGAGAGGCGCGUGGAAUUGCAGGUGUAGCGGUGAAAUGCGUAGAUAUCUGCAGGAACACCCGUGGCGAAAGCGGCGCGCUGGACCACCACUGACGCUGAGGAACGAAAGCUAGGGGAGCAAACAGGAUUAGAUACCCUGGUAGUCCUAGCCCUAAACGAUCAGGACUUGGGGUGCCACCCGUUCGGGUGUCGUCCCGGAGCUAACGCGUUAAGUCCUGCACCUGGGGAGUACGGUCGCAAGACUGAAACUCAAAGGAAUUGACGGGGGCCCGCACAAGCGGUGGAACAUGUGGUUCAAUUCGACGCUACGCGAGGAACCUUACCUGGGCUCGAAAUGCUUCUGACCCGCUGUAGAAAUACGGCCUUCCCGCAAGGGACAGGAGUAUAGGCGCUGCAUGGCUGUCGUCAGCUCGUGCCGUGAGGUGUUGGGUUAAGUCCCGCAACGAGCGCAACCCUUGCACGUAGUUGCCACUCGCAAGAGGGAACUCUACGUGGACUGCUCCGGAUAACGGAGAGGAAGGUGGGGAUGACGUCAAGUCCGCAUGGCCUUUAUGUCCAGGGCUACACACGUGUUACAAUGCAGGGCACAAACCGUUGCCAACCCGCGAGGGGGAGCUAAUCGGAAAAAACUCUGCUCAGUUCGGAUUGCAGUCUGCAACUCGACUG